rnacentral:rRNA from 1 species
GAUGAACGCUAGCUACAGGCUUAACACAUGCAAGUCGAGGGGAAACGACAUCGAAAGCUUACUUUUGAUGGGCGUCGACCGGCGCACGGGUGAGUAACGCGUAUCCAACCUGCCCACCACUUGGGGAUAACCUUGCGAAAGUAAGACUAAUACCCAAUGAUAUCCCACGAAGACAUCUGAAUGGGAUUAAAGAUUUAUCGGUGAUGGAUGGGGAUGCGUCUGAUUAGCUUGUUGGCGGGGUAACGGCCCACCAAGGCAACGAUCAGUAGGGGUUCUGAGAGGAAGGUCCCCCACAUUGGAACUGAGACACGGUCCAAACUCCUACGGGAGGCAGCAGUGAGGAAUAUUGGUCAAUGGGCGAGAGCCUGAACCAGCCAAGUAGCGUGCAGGAAGACGGCCCUAUGGGUUGUAAACUGCUUUUAUAAGGGAAUAAAGUGGGUCACGUGUGACUUUUUGCAUGUACCUUAUGAAUAAGGACCGGCUAAUUCCGUG